rnacentral:rRNA from 1 species
UACGUAGGGGGCGAGCGUUGUUCGGAAUCACUGGGCGUAAAGGGCGUACAGGCGGCCAUAUAAGUCGAGUGUGAAAUUCUUGGGCUUAACCUUAGAUCUGCACUCGAUACUGUUUGGCUUGAGAUCAGGAGAGGAGAGUGGAAUAUGUGGUGUAGCGGUGAAAUGCGUAGAUAUCACAUAGAACACCGGUGGCGAAGGCGGCUCUCUGGCCUGAUUCUGACGCUGACGCGCGAAAGUUAGGGUAGCGAACGGGAUUAGAUACCCCGGUAGUCCUAACUGUAAACGAUGGGUACUAAGUGUAGGAGGUCAUUGACCCCUUCUGUGCUGUAGCCAACGCAUUAAGUACCCCGCCUGGGGACUACGGUCGCAAGACUAAAACUCAAUGUAAUUGACGGGGGCCCGCACAAGCGGUGGAGCAUGUCGCUUAAUUCGAAGCAACGCGAAGAACCUUAUCCAGUGGCUUGACAUCCUCUGACAACUGUGGAAACACAGCUUUCUCUUAUGGGACAGAGUGACAGGUGCUGCAUGGCAGUCGUCAGCUCGUGUCGUGAGAUGUUGGGUUAAGUCCCGCAACGAGCGCAACCCCUGUCUCUAGUUGCCAGCGCGUAAUGGCGGGGACUCUAGAGAUACUGCCGGUGAUAAGCCGGAGGAAGGUGGGGAUGACGUCAUGUCCUCAUGGCCCUUAUGCCCUGGGCUGCACACGUGCUACAAUGGUCGGUACAACGGGUCGUGAAGCCGUGAGGUGGAACCAAUCCCUAAAAACCGAUCCCAGUUGGGAUUGUAGUCUGCAACUCGACUACAUGAACGUGGAAUCGCUAGUAAUCGCGAAUCAGCAGGUCGCGGUGAAUUCGAGGCCGGGCCU